rnacentral:rRNA from 1 species
UACGUAGGGACCAAGCGUUGUUCGGAUUUACUGGGCGUAAAGGGCGCGUAGGCGGCGUGGUAAGUCACUUGUGAAAUCUCUGAGCUUAACUCAGAACGGCCAAGUGAUACUGCUGUGCUAGAGUGCAGAAGGGGCAAUCGGAAUUCUUGGUGUAGCGGUGGAAUGCGUAGAGAUCGGAAAGAACACCAACGGCGAAAGCACUCUGCUGGGCCGACACUGACACUGAGAGACGAAAGCUAGGGGAGCGAAUGGG